rnacentral:rRNA from 1 species
UACGUAGGGUGCGAGCGUUGUCCGGAAUUAUUGGGCGUAAAGAGCUUGUAGGCGGUUUGUCGCGUCUGCUGUGAAAAUCCGGGGCUCAACCCCGGACUUGCAGUGGGUACGGGCAGACUGGAGUGUGGUAGGGGAGACUGGAAUUCCUGGUGUAGCGGUGAAAUGCGCAGAUAUCAGGAGGAACACCGAUGGCGAAGGCAGGUCUCUGGGCAUUAACUGACGCUGAGGAGCGAAAGCGUGGGGAGCAAACAGG